AGCUGGUACAGAUGAGAACGUGAGAGCCAGGACAAAGGACCUCCGCCCAGGCUCUGGUUCGGCUGCCAAGACGAACGGUGACGCUGAUCUUGCCUCCAUCACCCGCAUCUUGCAGUUCUGUUCGCACGGCGAGGUCAGCGAUGCGGGGCGUGGAGCCCAGGGCAGCGAUGCGGGGCGUGGAGCCCAGGGCAGCAGCGGGGCUCCGCCAGGGCGGCUGGGGUUACCCAUCCCCGCUGAGGCCCCCACCACUUGGCAAGUGCAGGCCACAAGGCCGCAGCCACGUCUCACCUGGAAUGUCCAGGUCAAGCUGUGCCAGCAGAUUCCAUUAAAUCUAGACCUUCA